UGUGAACCAUACCAAACUGUUGCCUCGGCGGGGUCACGCCCCGGGUGCGUCGCAGCCCCGGAACCAGGCGCCCGCCGGAGGGACCAACCAAACUCUUUCUGUAGUCCCCUCGCGGACGUUAUUUCUUACAGCUCUGAGCAAAAAUUCAAAAUGAAUCAAAACUUUCAACAACGGAUCUCUUGGUUCUGGCAUCGAUGAAGAACGCAGCGAAAUGCGAUAAGUAAUGUGAAUUGCAGAAUUCAGUGAAUCAUCGAAUCUUUGAACGCACAUUGCGCCCGCCAGUAUUCUGGCGGGCAUGCCUGUCCGAGCGUCAUUUCAACCCUCGAACCCCUCCGGGGGUCCGGCGUUGGGGAUCGGGAACCCCUAAGACGGGAUCCCGGCCCCGAAAUACAGUGGCGGUCUCGCCGCAGCCUCUCAUGCGCAGUAGUUUGCACAACUCGCACCGGGAGCGCGGCGCGUCCACGUCCGUAAAACACCCAACUUCUGAAAUGUUGACCUCGGAUCAGG
rnacentral:rRNA from 1 species